rnacentral:rRNA from 1 species
CUACGGGCUGCAGCAGUGGGGAAUCUUGCGCAAUGGGCGAAAGCCUGACGCAGCAACGCCGCGUGCGGGAUGAAGGCCUUCGGGCUGUAAACCGCUUUCAGCAGGAACGAAAAUGACGGUACCUGCAGAAGAAGGAGCGGCCAACUACGUGCCAGCAGCCGCGGUGACACGUAGGCUCCAAGCGUUGUCCGGAUUUAUUGGGCGUAAAGAGCUCGUAGGCGGUUGAGUAAGUCGGGUGUGAAAACUCUGGGCUUAACCCGGAGACGCCAUCCGAUACUGCUCUGACUAGAGUUCAGGAGGGGAGUGGGGAAUUCCUAGUGUAGCGGUGAAAUGCGCAGAUAUUAGGAGGAACACCGGUGGCGAAGGCGCCACUCUGGACUGAAACUGACGCUGAGGAGCGAAAGCAUGGGUAGCAAACAGGAUUAGAUACCCGGGUAGUC